rnacentral:rRNA from 1 species
UACACACCGCCCGUCACACCAUGGGAGCCGGUAAUACCCGAAGGUCAGGUAGUCCAACCACGUGAGGACGCUGCCGAAGGUAGGAUUGGCGACUGGGGUGAAGUCGUAACAAGGUAGC